rnacentral:lncRNA from 1 species
AAUGCCCAGAUCUGCAUCCUGCAGAAAAUCAUCAAAGCCGUAUCCAGAUUUGAAAAACUUUAAAAAAAAUACAAUUUGGAUCAGAGUUGGAAAGAUGUACACAAAUCUAUAUCUAUAAGAAUUUGGAUACAGAAGUGGAUCCAAGUAGAUCUAUAAUCAGUUUUCAGCCCUACCAAUGAGGCCACUAUGUAUUUAGGACACAAUUUGGUGCAAGGUCUGCCGUAUCGGUACCAGUCGGCGUACCGAUGGCGGCCCGGACCGGUAUGAAACCGGU